GGCCAUGCUGCUUGUAGAAUGUAGAUGAUGUGAAGUCUGAAUGGAAACUCCAUGAAUGGAUAUGAAUGUCGUGUGUUUGACGACCUUCCAUUUGUGCUGUAGAUAUACCAAUUUUUACCGUCUGCGGGAGAAUAUCAUUCAAAUUAAUGACUCGAUAUAAUUCGUUAACAUCGUGGGUGUCAGUCGUCACAACAGUCAAUGUCCUUCUUGAGAAGUCAUGUCGUAUUAUCACUUUAAUCAAUGAUCCACUCCUCCAUUUUGAUGGCACAAUUUUCAACCAAUUUCUAGAGGAUACAUCGAUUCCAACAUAUUCUUGUUGACAAUUUUCACCAACAAGAAAGAAAAUGAGUUCACCAGGCCGAGCAUUAUAAUUUUCGUUGUCCUUUAAGACGAACGAGAUGACGGAGACAAAGUUGGCGGUGUCACCGGUGUUUUUAUUUCAAAUAGGAAUUGCUGGUGAAUACAAGACCUUACUUACAUUCUUAUGGUAUUUAGGGCUGGUCAGUUCUAGUAUUCCAUUAGGUAAAAUCUGGGCAUUCCCUUGUAAGGUAAAAUUAUCGGCGGCUUGGCUGAAGUUUUUGACAUCAAAGGAAUAAUAAUUUGUGUCAAACCAUUGGGCAUUCCCUUCUCUUGAUUGCAAGAAAAUGAACAUUGAAAAAACUAAAAAGAGAACAGAAAAUAGAGUUUGAGUUGGAAGAUAUGAGCUAGAGAAAGCCAUGAUGCUGAAGUUUUGAUAUUGAAUUGUGAGUGAGCAUUUGUAAUUUGUCACUUGCAUGUACUUAAACACGCACUUGGGGCUAUUUUUUGAUUGCAAGUUGUCAUUUGUAUAUGUAUAUUUGACUUGUUCUCACACUUUUGAUACUUGUUCAAUCUCUCAAAGAGUAAUACAUUUAAAAAAAUAUUUUUAAAUAAAUGACAUUUUCAAUUCUCAAUAUAAUAUAUUUUUUUGUUUUAAGAAAAAAUUGUACGGUCUAAUUGAAAUUGCAUGCUUCCCAACAAUUUUAUAUAUCUAUUUUAGAUUAAUGUUGAUGCACUAAAGGUAGUUUAGUAAAAAUAUUUAUUUGUUAUCUUUCAUUUAUACAAUUCUUUUCCCUAUAUAAAAUGUUCUAAUAGGUCAUUCAUUAUGGAACGAAAGGAUUAAUUUUCUCGUACCAUUUCAAGAAAUCAUUCAUUUUUACUCAUCACAUUUGUAAUACAAAUUUGCUUAUAUAUAUAUAUAUAUAUAUAUAUAUAUAUAUAUAUAUAUAUAUAUUAUUUUUUUUUUGUGUUUAUUGUUCAAAUUGACCAUGUAACAUACAUGAUGUUUGAAAAAUAAUUAUGUAAAAUGCAAAACAAAUAUUCUAACCUUAUAAUUUGACGUUUUUCUAAUCCUGUAAAAAUUCAUAAUUAAUUCGUCUCUUGUCGAAAAGUUCUAAUUUUUUGUGUAAAACAAUAUUUUAAAGUCCUAAACAUGCAUGAAAAAAAAGCAUAAAAAAAUUCAAUAUCCAGAUCACUUUUUUGGACUUAAUGUACAUUAUAGGGUAAAAAAUAAUGAGAAUAUCAAAUUACAAGGUUAAAAUAUGUGUUUUUUAUUUUACAGGUUCAUUUUUGAGAUUUCAUAUAUAUUGCAAGGUCAAUUUAAACAAUUAACCUUUUUUUAGGAUAAGCAUGGUUGUUUCUAUUUACUUGUCAUUUUCAAAGUUCUUAUUUUGUCAUAAAUUGACGUAACUAUUUAUUAUAGAAAGAAACAUUUGAGAUGAGAUAAUAAAUAGUUAAUGAUAUUCUUGGAAAAAGCAAAAAAUUUAUAUAAAAUGUAACAAUUUUUGUCUUAUGAAAAUAUCGUGUGUGAACAUCAUUCCAAUAUCUUUUAAAAUGAUCAAUCAAAGGUUGCAAAUAUAUAUAUACCAAUUGUUGGACUAGAUGGACCUGAUAUUAAAUCAGCUAAAAUUAUGUAAUGUAUUGACAUGCACAUAUUAGGUGAAUGGUUGUAUGGGGUGACAAUAAUAGGCCAACAUGAAUAAUAAGUAAGUACUCGAUGCUCGUGUAUUUGCUGUAAAUACAUCAAAGGAUAACCCAAGAUGUACAUUGUGUGACUUUUGUUCACGUAUGUAAACAUGAAUUACAAUAGAUGAAAUAUUCACUGGAGCUGCCUAAAAGUAGCUCCAAGAAUACUCUAAAAUGACUAAGGUGAAAAUACAAUGUGUAGGCUAGAAUGAAUGGAAUCCCCUUAUUCUCUCUAGGUGUCUCCUUUUAUAAGCUUCACUUUCCUGACCUAAUGGGCAUCCUUUUAGAUGUCCAGGCCCAUUAAGCCUCCGAGGUCGCGCGUGGAGUUGAUAAUUUUUUAUGUUCAUUCGUACAAGGCGCGUGGAGUCAAGGGUACACAACUCACGUCACUUGUUUGUGUAGGAUGCGUGGCACAUUAUGAGACACCUUCAAGAGGAGGACCACAAGGUUGCUUGGACAACAACUUGAGAGAGAGCUAGUGAUGUUGAAAGAGGAGCUCACGUGACCUGAAAGAUCAAACUAAGCUAAGCAGGUGGAGCUCACGUGACCUGAACGAUCAAACUGAGUUGUACAUGUUGAAUAUUCAAUGUAUAGGAGAGUCCAUGUGGUAUGGUCCUCCAUACCAGUCCAUAGUUCACCAAGUGUCAAGUCUGUUAAGGCGUAGACUUUUGUUCUUCAUAGGAUUGACAUGUACCAAUCCACAUACUACUAAGCGUCAAAGCUGUCAAGGCGUAGACGUUUGUUCUUCACAGGGUUGACAUGUACCAGCCAACAGUCCAUAAUCACGUUUCUCUAUCACAUAAGGCUGAUCACUACCAAGUCCGUUAUGCUUUUCAAUUGACUUUUAUACAAUACAUAUAAGGACAUUUCUUUGUAGACCUUUUGUCCACUCAGCGUUGAUUGUGCCUUUCUUUCUCAGCCGCAAUCUCCAUUUCCUUUUAUCUAUACUAUUUAUCUGCUCAGCUCCUCUAUUCGGCCCUCAUUUCUAUUCAGUCAUCAUCUCUCCUCGAUCUCCUCGUUGUUCAUGCAGAUCAGCUCGGUUGUCAUACUGCUCGACCUCCUUUUGCUUCAUCAACGUCUUCCCCUUUUGGCAGAUAUGCUCAUCCACUUCUAUCUGAUACCGAUCUCCUCGGUAUCUCUUCUCGGCGCCAUGCUUAAACUCCCAUCUUGUUCGCAUAAAUUGGUAUAUCUAGCGUUGGUUUAAAGAUUCCUCAAUUUCUAUAUCAUGCUUACUUUCCCAAACACCCUACAACGUAAUCAGUGCGUCCAUUGCAGCUAAAAGACCACAAAAGAUCAGCCAAUACAUCUCCCCCUUUUAAGUUCAUAUUACAUUUUAUCUUCAUGUUCGGCUCGGCAUCUAUGUAGCUCGGCCAUGGAUCUGCUCGGCCUCUUAGCAGCUCGGCCAUUCAACCCGUCCUCUGCCUCUUUGCAGCUCGGCUAUACUUUUUCACCUUAACUAGCUCAACUGAUUUGAGAUAAAGGAAAAAGAGUUGAAGGUCCUUAGUUCAAACUCGGAAGAAGUAAAUAGUAAUGUAAGAAACUAACUACCUAUGAAGCACGAACACUCCUUGGAUUAGGCGUGUCUUGGUGUCCGACACCGACACGACACUUGUAAUUACAUUGAAUUAUGUUUUUUCAAAUUAUUAGCGGUGUCGACGUGUCAGUGUCCGUAUCGUGUCUGGUGUCCGUGUCCGUAUCCGUGCUUCAUAGCUAACUACAAAUAUUACCAUUUAAAAAAAAACUAGCAUUUACCAGGGUUUGCUUCAAAUAUAAUUUACCGGUGUCAAGUCCUAAACUGAUUUUUUUGCAAGUGUUUGCAAUUUCUCAUAGAUUACACUUUUGAAUACCCAACACAGUGUACCUUGGUGAUUUGUAUAUUUUGAAUGAGUUUUUUUAUAGACAAAUGUUAGCAAUUAGUAUUUCCAUCCGUGCAACGUACGGGCGAACAAAGAUUUUUUGUAGCGUUAACAAAUUAUUACUUUGAGCAUAUCAAAAAAUUAAAAACAUACAAUGCAAUUCUUAGAUAAAUCAAAUGUUACUGUCUUCAUGAAAAUAAAGAUGGCAUGCAUCGAUGUAUCGUUCGGUUUAAUUUAAAACGAUUACACAAUAUUAGCCAAUAAUAAUUAAAUUAUUACAUAAGUUAUAAGUGACACAAAAAAGUAAUCGGCACUUGAAAGAACAAUUAAUCCAAAACAAAAAUCCUUCUUGAAGAUAGAUGCAUUAUUGCUUGAUAGCUCCAAGAACUCAUCUUUGGAAUAGCUUCCCUGUGCCGCUUUCCAACCACACAACCAGUGCAAAUAACAGGGGAAUCCUUGAGCACCAGUAAUCCUCAUAUCGUCCCUUACACAUAUGUUGCCGAAUCACACAAAUCAGACCCUUCUGCUGAAGCUGACCAACAUUAAAGAGAUUAUUUUGUAAGGAGAAAUGAUAUUUAUACAACCAUUUUUUGAUAACUUUUGCAUAACUUUCUCUCUCAUACUCACAUGACAUUCUUAUUAUCUCUCUUACUAUUUCUCUCUCCAUUGUUUUUGACCAAUAGGAAGAGAAAAAAAUAAAGUUGUCACCAAAAUUGUCAUCAAUUGGAUGUACAAAUAUCACUACUCUAGAAUAAAAGCUCACAAAACAUAGUUUUAAAACAUUGGUUGCAUAGCUCAGCAUAUAGAAAUUACUCAAUGUACUAAACCAUAUUCAAGAGUUCUAAAACUCAACCACGCAACUUCAUUGGUCAUUUGCAACUAAAAUGUCAGUAGCUAUCCCAGCGGAAUAUUUCAUACAAAUGUUAGCAACUUAUCUCCUUAAUAGUGGCGACGGGUGGUUAUGUGUAUCGUUCUUCAGUGGUUGUUUUGUGAAAGAGUCUGUUUUAGGGGGUGAUGUUUAUGGGUGUAGGGGUGUUUUGUUUGGAGUGUAUUUUCGGGUAUUCCGCCUAUAUACAACGCCUUUUAGUUUGUAUUCUCUGAAUCACCGGUCUCAGUUCGUCUUAAGCAGGAAUCUGUUUUUUAAAUAAAAUUUGCCGUUUAAAAAAAAAAACUUAUCUCCUUACACCGCUUCCAAAAUUGAAGGGGAAUAUUUCAUAUAAAUGAUAAUAGUGAGGCCAAUGGUAAACUUCGAAAAGUGUUGUUUAAUUUGGCUGAUCACAAUGCAAAUUGCCGGUGCAAAAUGUUCCAGGUUGAAGGAGUAUAUGGUAGACAAAUAUGUUAUGUUGUAAAGGGGAAGGAGAGAGAAAAUGGGAAAUUGGAAGGUGUUAGGAGUGAGAAUUGAUUAAGAGAAACUAAGAUAAAAAUUAUACUAUGCAGAGAAAGAUGUAGAAUAGUUUUGUGAAAAAGGUUCCUAAUUUAACCAAAUGAUUGAGAUUAAGUGAAUAAUAAGUUCACCUAGAAGGAAUUGUUUUGCGAUACUUUAAUGAUCUCAUGAUCGAACUUAGAGUAACUAGGACUCAUUUUUACUAAGAAUAGGAGGGUAACACAAUUUUUCCCCCAAUCCCAAAUUUCUUUAUCUACCGCAGGAGAAACAUGUAAUUAGAGAGUUCAUUUUCGUUCUCGUUUGAUACUAGCGUGUUAAUAGCAUCAGGUUCAGCAAUAGUGAUAUCCCCAACAUAUCAAAACUAGUUGUUACCCCAUGAGUAGUAGGAGAUGUAAGUAUUGGUACAUAGAAUAACUUUUGAUUGAUUCGAUUAAUUAGUUGUUAUUAAGUUAUGAAUAAGUUGAUACGGUUUCAUCAUCACUUAAGUAGAUUGUAAUUUUUCAUUUAUUAUUAUAAUUUAGAACCCGAUUCGAGUUGAGAUUUUUAUAGAUUAGUUUAAACAACCAAUUCAAUGAGUCGAUUAGCCAAAAUCUAAUUAAGCAACAUUAGCUCAAAAAUAACAUAUUUCAACAAUUGCCUUUAUUUAGAAUUUUAUUUAAAAAGAGAAAAACUGAAACAUGGUUCACAUAGGCUAUAUCUAUAUAUAGGUAGCACAUAUAGUUCUUAUAAUUAGACAUAUUAUACAAGUUAUCAUAACAACCAAUCAUGCAUAAAAUAUAUAAAAAAUAAUAAUGCAUAGCUUGCAGUAUCAACGUUGAUGCCUCGGGCCAUGCUUGCAGAUGAUAUGAAGUGUGAAUGGAAACUCCAUGAAUGGAUAUGAAUGUCGUGUGUUUCACGUCCUUCCAUCUGUCCUGUAGAUAGACCAACUUUUACCAUCCCCGGGAGUGCAUCUUUCAAAUUAAUGACUCGAUGAAAUUCGGUAAACUCGUGGGUGUCAGAUGUCAUAACAGUCAAUGUCUUACUCGAGGAGUCAUAUCGUAUCACCACUUCAAUCAAUGAUUCACUCCUCCGUGUUGAUGGUACAAUUUUCAACCUAUUUCUAGAGUAUACAUCAACUCCAAUAUGCGAAUACUUUAGAUCAUCUUGUUCAAAAUUUUCACCAACAAGAAAGAAAACGAGUUCACCAGGCCAAACAUUAUAAUAUUCGUUGUACUUUAAGACAAAUGAGAAGACGGAGACAAAGCUGUUAGUGUCACCGGUGUAUUCAUCCCAAAUAAGAAUUGAUGUUGAAUACAAGACCUGACUUACAUUCGGGUAUGUAGGGCCGAUCAGUUCCAGUAUUCCAUUUGGUAAAAUCUGGGCAUCCCCUUGUAAGGUAAAAUUAUCGGUGGUGGCUUCGCUGAAAUUUUUGACAUCAAAGGAAUAAUUUGAGUCAAACCAUUCGGCAUUCCCUUCUCUUGAUUGCAAGAAAAUGAACAUUGAAAAAACUAAAAAAAGAACAUAAAAUAGAGUUUGAGUUGGAAGAUAUGAGCUAGAGAAAACCAUGGUGCUAAAGUUUUGAUAUUGAAUUGUGAGUGAGAGCAUUUGUAAUUUGUCAAAUGUAAUAUACUAAUAUAUAAUAAUUUAAUAAAAACUAAAAUACAUAUUUAACAAGAUUCGAAUUUGGGGGUAACGUACAAAAUUAUUCAUUAUUAUAAAAAUUAGUAUAAAUCAGAGAUAGGAUUCAGAUCGCUUGCUAAUCUGCUUCAUGCAGUAGGCGAUCUAGAUCGUUGAAAUGCGAUCCAACAACUCCGAUUUAAGUAGUGUAAUUUGACCAAUUUCACAUAGAUUUAAUCUUAGUCGUUCAUUCGUGAACGGGAGGUCGAUAACAAAUAUACA
rnacentral:lncRNA from 1 species